ACACGCGCGGGAACAACAACCGUUUCUCGGCAACAGGCAACGUGCUCACAGCCUUCUUCAGGACUCUCUAAAACAACCAGAUUAACUAUUAUAAUGCUGCUGCUGCUGCAGAAAACACCGAAGAACAGAAAAUACCGAUUAAGACCAUUUAAUUCUGGCGAUAUUUUAACAAAAAAGAAGAAAAUUAGUGGAUUUCAUUCAUUUCCUUCUUGCAGCAGCUGACACAAAUUUCAUGAGAAGGGAAGGAAUUAUUUAAAAGGAGUUUAAAAGGUGGCAUUUUUGUCUGUAUCUGGAGGCCAUUGCUAAGAGUCUGGGGACUUCUGUGCUGCCAUCGUGGAGCUGAUGAGUCUGGAAUAAAACUUUCAGAGGAAGAAACGUCACCAGUAAUCAAUGACCAAAGCUCUGUCCGUCCAUGGUGGUGAUCCUGAAGUUGUUUUCUUCACACAGAUGAUCAUUUUUGAUGAAUUGAUGACCAGUAGAUGACCAGCAUAAUUUUUGGACCUAUAUUUGGAGCCAAGUUUAAAGACUGAGAAGAUUGAUGUACUUCCCCUCAAAUCUGCCUGACGUGUCCGUCCCACCGUCAUACUGACAGAAUGUGAUGUGUUCUGGCCAAGGGACUUUAUUACUACUGUGCACUCAGGAGAAGACACCAUGCACAAGUUUUUCAGGGACUGACCUUUGGCUUCAAACCUCAGGACAGCAUGAUCUUCCUUUUUGCCAAAGUGACAAAGACGGUGUUCCCUUUUAAAUCACCUCGAAUAUCCAGAACGCUUGUUUGAGCCAAGAGGUGUUUGAUCUAGUGCACAAAACAGUUGGUUUAGGUCAAUGGAAGCUGGCAUUGGAUCAUCAGCCGCUAAACUUGAAGAUAAUGAAGCACUGUACCAGUGAAGUGUCCUUAAGAUUUAAGGCCAGAACAAACCAAGUCGAUGCCGACAAACUAGUGGCGACGAAAGCAGACUGCGGGGUUUGUUCACGUCGGCAGCGUCUGUGUCUAUAGUUGCCCCGCCACACCAAAACCGACGCUCAACAGUCGACGGCCAAGCAGCACGACAUGUCGAAUUGGCUGAAAAAAAGCCGACGAGGACCAACUUCAGCCGACGGUGCAGAACACACUGAGAAAACUUAGUCGGCCGACGAAGGAAAACUGCCCGACGGCCGACCGUCGGCUUGGUGUGUUCCUGCCUUUAGACAGGUACUGUUGUGUGUUAACAGUUUCAGUGAGCUUAUGCACACAUCGAUGUGUGAAUGUUUUCACACAGAAAUCAUGAUUUAUCCAUGAGUUCAUACUAAUAUGGUCACAUACACACUGCAAGUUUCAGGAGUGACAACUGCAUUUAAAUGCGGGAGUGAAUCCCCUAAAUUAUCGUUACAUGUGUGUACGGAACAUGACUCACUCUCGAAACUUGGAUGAUUGACAGCUCGGAAACCAUAGCGACGUUCUGGUAUCUCUCGUGUUUGGUAUCCGUUAUUGUGACCAAAGUAAUAUUACAGUGACAAAACACUCGUUAUUUUCAGCAAUUUAACUAAACGGUUGACAGAGGCGUGAUGUUUUUUUUUUUGUUUUUUUUUUUUUUUUUUUUUUUAAAUGCUUGUACAGCCUGAUUCACACAAAGCGUGCUCUUUUUGUGUUGCCAGUGUUGCCAUGAUCACAUUUAUUUUAAGCGUUUUGUGUUUGUUGUUUAAGCUCGUCUCAUAAAGUGACCAGGUGUAUGGAGUUAUUAAAGUAAGCAGACAAGAGUCACGAUAUUUUGUUCUUAUUUUCAGCAUAAAGCACUUGGAUUUAGUUCUUGUUCGCUGAUUUUUCUAGAAAAAUCUGGCAACACGAAUGAGUCAAGGCUUGUGCUUUCCCUGUGAUUCACUGUGCAUAAAAAGACAUCUCCGAUGCACGUUAAAAACGUCAUUAACAACUAGUUGUUCAGUUCAGUUCUGUACACACUACGUGGAAUUUCUGUAAAGGCGGUUAUAGAUGCAGAGUUAAUACGGUUGUAGAAGGCUGUUGUCACUCCUGUAUUUUACUGAACUGUGUGUGUACAGAACACGAUUAAGCACUAAAUGGUGAACUGACAACCGAAUUUAGCAGCAGUGUGUACGUGGCCUAUUUUUGGUCAAAUAAGAAAACAUUUACACCACCUGAGGUCACUCAGAUAUUUGGUUUUUGUGCUCUCAUGUGAGAAUGCACCUCUAGAGAUCGAGGAAAUGUUUCGUAAAUUACUCCCUGCAGACACACAUUCUCCUAUUCAGAAUAAUCCACAUCAAUCAUCAUAAGGACAAAUACUGUUGUGAUACAUUGCUCAUUCAUCUCUACUUGAAUCUCUUAAAGGGAUAAUUCACCCAAAAAUGAAAUUUCUGUCAUUUAUCUUUUGUGUGUGUGGAACUUACAUAAAAAACAUUGUAUAUUUAACCAUUUUGGUUCUCAUUGGCUCUCACUGUAUGGACCAAAAUCACUGACAUUUCUCAAAAAUAUACAGAAGAAAGUCAUACAGGUUUGUAAUGACAUGAGGGUGAGAGUUUGACAGAAAUUUGGCUGAACUGUCCCUUUAAGCAGAGGGUUGUCACAGUUUACAUUCUGUCUCAGGAUUGGAAAUGUAAUUUAUAAUACGUGGAGAUAAAAUCAUGUAGAUGAUAUGAAGAGCUUUUGAUAUUUUGUUGUCUUUGUGCCUUUUUGAUUAUGAAGAUAUCAGUCUUGCUCUGAAUCUUGCCUCCAGUGGGAUUUUACGGGAAUCCCCAAACACCUCAAGUUCCUAGAGGCAUGUGAUUUCCUCAGUGUUGCAACAAUCGCUCGCACAUUACACAAGUAUUGAAAGAAGGCAUGUGGGUUAGACAUGACUAGGUGUUUUGAAUUCUCACUAAGUGCCUACACUGGAAGUUUGUGACUGACUAAAUUGCUUCCACUAAAACCAACAAAGCUGUCUGCACUCACUAGAAAUGAGCAAUACUGCAGUGUCACAGUGGACAACUUGUUCAAGUUUUAUUUUAUUUUUUAUUCAUUCAUUGUUUUAUUUGUAUUUUUUUUUAAUAAACAGUGGUUGAGUUCAGCAGCAGAUUAAUGUUGUUGUGAAACUUACUUUUGCACUUUUGCAGUAGAAAUAGCGGCUGACUGAAAUCUGGCCUCUGUGUCAUCUGGCAGAAGCCUAUUUAACACAGUUUCACCCGCAGCUUGUCCAGUAUGCUGUCUAUCCUAAAGCAGGGGUUCUUAACUGAUCAAAUUCAUACUAGUUCAGGUGGGAUUAAGAGAACCCUAUUCUAAAGGUUCUUGCCUGGUGUAAUGGAGGACCUUGUGUUGGAUUCAUGGUUUUAGAUAUAUAUUGUUAGCACUUAUUCUUUGCUUGCACUUAAACCUAAGCUUGAUUGUGCCUUCUUUUGCUUGUUUAACUUGUGCUUAACAUAAGCACAAGUUAAAGGACUGUUUUAGAUUAGGAAAUAAUGACUCAAAAUAUAUAGCAACUUCAUAAUAUAAGUAAACAUAAGUAUAUUAUUUAUCCAAAAAGAGAUGCAUGAAUGUAAACUGUGAUUUUUGUAUUGUAUGUGGUAUAGUGAUUAUCACACACAGCCUCAAUGUGUUGUUUAUUUUGAAAAAUAAAGUUAAAUGAUCAAAA